rnacentral:rRNA from 1 species
CAAUAGCGUAUAUUAAAGUUGUUGCAGUUAAAAAGCUCGUAGUUGGAUUUCUGGUGGAGUCCGCUGGCCCGCUGCGCAAGCGGCGUGUGCCGAUGCGCGACUACCGCCAUCCUCGGGUGAGGCGCGGUUGGGAUUAGUUUCUCGGUCGCGUUGAGUCCGUCGUUUACUGUGAAAAAAUUAGAGUGUUCAAAGCAGGCUGAAGCCGUUGAAUACAUUAGCAUGGAAUAAUGAGAUAGGACCUUGGCGGUCUAUUUUGUUGGUUUGCACGCCAGGGUAAUGAUUAAUAGGGAUAGUUGGGGGUAUUCGUAUUCAAUUGUCAGAGGUGAAAUUCUUAGAUUUAUGGAAGACGAACUACUGCGAAAGCAUUUACCAAGGAUGUUUUCAUUAA